CAGGAAUCAGGCAGCUAGCGUGGGACCCGUGCAACAGGCCAAGGCAGGCCGCCGACCCACAAGAGCCUGUGCUGUCACUAGUGAGGUGAAAUCUAUGGGACCCAUCUGCAAAGAGCCUGAAAAAACACUAUCACAGUUCUCAAAUGUGGAUGUCUUGAUCACUUAUGCAGUUUCUGAACCAUCCUGGAAUUUCUUGGCAGCUGUAUGAAACUGACCUUCCUGCAGUUGCAUAAGCCACAAAAACAAGUAGAUGGAACAGCAUACAGUCACUAGUUGAAUAUGACUGGGAUCUCUUUAUUAGUAAUGAAUAAAACAUGUACCUCUGGUCAAUCUUCACAUUGAUGAAUAAAAGGAUAAAACGUGA